rnacentral:tRNA from 1 species
GGGGAUAUAGCUCAGUUGGUAGAGUACUUGCCUCACAUGUACAAAAGCCCUGGAUUCAAUUGCCAGUACCACCA